rnacentral:lncRNA from 10 species
GGCGUGGUGGCUCAUGCCUGUAAUCCCAGCACUUUAGGAGGCCGAGGUGGGCAGAUCAUGAGAUCAGGAGUUCGAGGACAGGCUGGCCAAUAUGGAGAAACCCCUUCUCUACUAAAAAAUACAAAAAUUAGCUGGGCGCGGUGGCGCAUGCCUAUAGUCCCAGCUACUCAGGAGGCUGAGGCAAGAGAAUCGCUGGAACCUGGGAGGCCGAGGCUGCAGUGAGCCAAGAUCAUGCCACUGCACUCCAGCCUGGGCGAUAAGAGCGAGACUCCGUUUCAACAACAACAACUAUAUGUAUAAAUAAUAUAUAUAUAUAUUUUCUGGAUACAGGUCUCUUAUUGGACAUAUGACUUAUAAAUAUUUUCUCCAAUUCUGUGUGUUGUCUUAUCAAUUUCUUGAUGGUAUCAGUUUGCAGCACAAACGUUUUAAAUUUGGAUAAAUACUUUUAUUGCAAAACAUUGGUGUUGGAGCUGCUUAAACUCCUCUUAAGGGUCUCUAAAGUGAGGGACUGCCAACCUUCUCUCAACCCCCGUCAACACUCCCCCCAUCCUGCUUCCAACACUCUUGUUUCCACCUGAGCAAAUGUGGCCUACACAUGUUUAGUAUGGGUGUAGACGAGCACAGUGAGAAAGCUGAGGUUCUGCAAUGGGGUGUGAAUGGGUUUUCCACUGAAGAGCUGAGUAGCCUUCCCAAAAUAGCAUCUUUAAUUGUUUCUUAACUGCUACCACACCUACAUAUGAAGUAAGUGUAGCUUAUAAAUUUCAUGCAAUACAUUUUUAUCAAGACGUAGAUCCAGUAUUGUAGGUAUAUUAGGAUGAAAAUGUAGAUGAAGGGCAGGUAAAUAAUUAUGCAGAGAAUGGUGUUUUUAUUUAACAGCAAGUGGACAAGAUUUGUUGGCAUGAUCCAGCUUUUCUUUUCUUUUCCUUUUUUUUUUUUUUUUGAGAAGGAGUCUUGCUCUGUCACCUAGGCUGGAGUGCAGUGGCAUAAUCUCGGCUCACUGCAACCUCUGCCUCUGGGUUCAAGUGAUUCUCCUGCUUCAGCCUCCCCAAAUAGCUGGGACUACAGGUGCACGCCACCACGCUCCGCUAAUUUUUUUUUUGUAUUUUUAGUAGAAACAGGGUUUCACCACGUUGGCCAGGCUGGUCUAGAACUCCUGAUCUCAGGUGAUCUGCCCACCUUGGCCUCCCAAAGUGCUGGGAUUACAGCCGUGAGCCACCGCGCCCAGCCAUGGUCCAACUUUUCGUACUAAUUUGAGGCAGUGUUUGUGUUUGAUAAAAUGCAGUAAUGUUUUUGAACCUUUAUAAAGCCAAAAUCCGAGUUGCUUAUUCUCAAGGUCAUGUUUCUAUAAAAGAAAACGCACCAGCCACAAAAAGCAACACAGUUUAAACCUUUAUUUGCAUUUUAAGAAAACCCCAGAGUGUAUUGAAAAUGUAGUUCAAAGUUGCUGUUAAAAUUUCCUCUCCCAAUCAUUUUUCUAACACAGCCCUCUGCCCAAACUCCCACUAAGCCUUAUUCCAGAACAUCUGCCACAAAAUGUCUUUUUUCCUCUUUUUGUCUCUACCCUCUUUUUUUUUUUGCUAGAUUGAGAGUGGAGAAGACUUUGAACACUUCUAUGCAUUCAUGUCAUUACCUAGAUAAAGUGCUCAUGCCAUGUCUGACACUCCUGGUAAGUAUUAAGUGAUAUCUUGAAAUUGCAGCAAAUGAAUACAGCAGAGGAAAAGAAAACUCAGAAAAACAACAACAGUGGUAACACCAUCUCCAAAUACCCCUGUUAAGAUUUGAUGUAUAUAUUGCUAAGUUCUUCUUUAUGUAUAGACAUACUUUUUUUUUUUACAUUUCUAAGAUAAAAAAGCAGAAUCAUAUCAUUAAAACUUUUUUUUUUUUUUUUUUUUGAGACGAGGUCUCGCUCUCUCGCUCAGGCACUCACAGCAGCCUCGACCUCCUAGGCUCAAGUGAUCUUCCCACCUCAGCCUUCCAAGUAGCUGAGACUACAAGUGUGCACCACAAUGCCUGGCUAAUUUAAAAUUUUUUUUGUAGAGAUGAGGUCUCACUUCGUUGCCCAGGCUGGUCUCAAACUACUGGGCUCAAACGAGACUACUGCCUCAACCUCCCAAAGUGCUGGGAUUACAGGCAUGUGCCUAUAUCCAGCCUUUUUUUUUUUUUUUUUUUUUAAUUCUUAAGUAUUUUUCGAACUUCUAAGUUUUGUUUGGUUGGUUGGUUUUGUUCUUGUUGUCGUUUUACUUUUUGUGGGGUUUUUGUUUGUUUAGUUUACUAAUUGGUUCCUGUUAGAUGGAUAGGAGGUUUUUUUGUUUUGUUUUGUUUUGUUUUGAGACGGAGUUUCCCUCUUGUCCCCCAGGCUGGAGUGCAAUGGCACAAUCUCGGUUCAUUGCAACCUCUGCCUCCCAGGUUCAAGCGAUUCUCCUGCCUCAGCCUCCCGAGUAGCUGGGAUUACAGGUGCCUGCCACUAUGCCCGGCUAAUUUUUGUAUUUUAGUAGAGACAGGGUUUCGCCAUGUUGGCCAGGCUGGUCUCGAACUCCUGACCUCAGGUAAUCUACCCUCCUCGGCCUCCCAAAGUGCUGGGAUUACAGGCGUGAGCCACUGUGCCCCGCCAGGAGAUUUUUUUUUUUUCUGCAUAGCAAUAUGACCCUGGUACUAAAUAAUGGCGUGAGACUCAUAAAUACUUGAUUUCUAAUUCUUGAUUGUCUUAGUCCAUUGGUGCCACUAUAACAAAAUACCUGAGACUAGGUAGUUUAAAAACGACAGAAAUUUAUUUCUCAUAGUUCUGGAGGCUGGGAGUCCAAGAUCAAGGUGCCAGCAGGUUUGUGGACUGGUGAGGUCCUGGUCUCAGCUUCCAAGAUGGUGCCUUCUUGCUGCAUCUUCUGGAGGAGGGGAGGAACACAGUGUCCUCACGUGGAGAAGGCGGACGGGCAAGGGAGCUGAAUGCCGCGUGACGAGUCUGAAACCCAUCUGUGAAGGAGGAUCCCUCCUGACCUAAUCACCUCUUAAAGGCCCCGCCUAUUAAUAUCACCCUAUUGGCCACCAGUUUCAACACAUGAAUUUUGGAGGGGAUAGAUUCAAAUCAUAGCACCAGUCUACUGUGAACUAUGUGACCUGAGUCACAUUCUUACCAUUUUGCUGGAAAAAGAAACGUUAAUUCCGGUCAAUUUAAACUACAUUGAAUCCCAAACUCAAAUUACCCGAGGGAAACUGGAAACUUGCUGAAAGGUAUUAACAUUCUGGCACCCCCUAGUGGCCACCUGAAUAUUCUGUAAAACCCGAUUUUUUUUCCCAUUUUGCUUUUCUUUGGUGUGGCACGUUUUUCGUUUUCAGUUUAUUUACUAUUACUUCACCCCAUUUUUAAACCUUUUAGAAAAUAAAAGGGAACAUCAGUUCAUACAGAAGACACUUCUAACUUGUCGAUUCCCACUAAUCUUACAUUUCUUGGGGCAGCCACCACCUGUAUCUUCUGUGUAUUUGUCCUACACACAAUUGAACACAGUAGUUGCUCAAUGAAUGACUGAUUGAUAGGUAAUGCAGUCCAGUGUUUGAAAUAUUUCUUGUUUUGUUUUGCUUUGUUUUUUGAGAUGGAGUCUAGCUUUGUCACCCAGGCUGGAGUGCAAUGGUGUGAUUUAGGCUCAUUGCAACCUCUGCCUCCCGGGUUCAAGCGAUUCUCCUGCCUCAGCCCCCCGAGUAGCUGGGAUUACAGGCAUGCGCCACCACACUUGGCUAAUUUUUUUUUUUUUUUUGUAUUUUUAGUAGAGACGGGGUUUCACCAUGUUGGUGAGGCUGGUCUCGAACCCCUGAACUCAAGUGAUCCACCCACCUCGGCCUCCCAAAGUGCUGGGAUUACAGGCAUGAGCCAUCAUGCCUGGCCUUGAAAUAUUUCUUUAAAACUCUGUGCUGAUGCUAUUUAAAUUGAACUCUGAAGGAUAAAGUGGAUCUGUUGGAAAGCCUGACAUAUAUAAGGAGAUCAAUAGUACUUGUUGAAUGAACAAAGGAAUAUAUAUUUUAUAUAAUUGAGGGUUUUCUUUUUUCUUUUUUCCUUUUUUUUUUUUUUUUUUUUUUGAGAUGGAGUUUCACUCUUGUUGCCCAGGCUGGAGUGCAGUGGCGCAGUCUUGGCACACUGCAACCUCCACCUCCUGGGUUCAAACGAUUCUCCUGCCUCAGCCUCCUGAGUAGCUGGGAUUACAGGCAUGCGCCACUGUGCCCAGCUAAUUGUGUAUUUUUAGUAGAGAUGGGGUUUCACCAUGUUGGUCAGGCUGUUCUUGAACGCCUAACCUCAGGUGAUCCACCCGCCUCAGCCUCCCAAAGUGCUGGAGUUACAGGCGUGAGCCACCGCGCCCGGCCCGAGAGUUUUUGAUAAGUGUAUGCUUCUUUAAAGACUGCUUUGUUCCUUCAAUAUUAUAAUCAAUUUUCCAUUUGUUAAAAAUUCUUCAAAAAUGUAUUUAUUUAUUUAUUUUUUUUUUGAGACAGGUCCUGGCUCUGUUGCCCAGGCUGGAGUGCAGUAGCACGAUCAUGGCUCUCUGCAACUACCACCUCCCAGGCUCAAGAGAUCCUCCCACCUCAGCCUCCCGAGUAGCUGGGACUACAGACACCUGCCACUACACCUGGCUAAUUUUUGUAUUUUUGGCAAAUACGGCGUCUUCCUAUGUUGCCCAGACUUGUCUCUAACUCCUGGGCUCAAGCGAUCCUCCUGCCUUAGCCUCCCAAAGUGCUAGGAUUACAGGCAUGAGCCACCGUGCCCAGGCCAAGAAUGUGAUUUUUAAAUGGCUACAUUCAUCAUAUGACUAGAUCAUAGUUUAUUUUGCUAUAUAGAUUAUUCAAAAAUUUUGGUAUUAGAAAAAAAACUGAAACGAACAUCUUCGGACAACUAAAGUCUUCAGAUACUGCUAAUUAUUAAGAGCCACCCGGUUACUCUAGUCCACCUAGAAUAGUGUUUGCAUUAGACUCAUAGCCCCAAGUUGUCAAUAUCAAGUAACUGUUUAUCAUGGGGAGGGAAACUGCUUUUUCCUCUCGUUUUUAUUUAUUUAUUUAUUUAUUUUGAGACAAAGUCUCGUUCUGUCGCUCCGGCUGGGGUGCAGCGGCGCGAUCUCGGCUCACUGCAACUUCUGCCUCCUGGUUCAAGCAAUUCUCCUGCCUGAGCCUCUCGAGUAGCUGGGAUUACAGGUGCUGGCCACCAUGCCCGGCUAAUUUUGUAUUUUUAGUUGAGACAGGGUUUUACCGUGCUGGCCAGGCUGGUCUCAAGCUCCUGGCUUCAGGUGGAUCCACUUGCCUCGGCCUACCAAAGUGCUGGAUUACAGGUGUGAGCCACCACACCUGGCCACAGAUUUUUGUUUUUAAUGUUUUGUUAACUAUUUCUAUGUAAAAUUUCCCUUUGCGUUGUUUAUUUAAGGCAUUUACACACUUUAUUUGGAGGAGUCCAUGGCACAAAAACAGUUAUGAACAUGUGCUCUGUUUUUUUUUUUCCUUUUCCCCCAAUUCUCUUUCCUUUUCACAAAGUUGAUGAAAGGCAUGACUGAUUUUAUUUAUUUAUUUAUUUAUUUAUUUAUGAGACGGAGUCUUGCUUUGUCACCCAGGCUGGAGUGC